rnacentral:rRNA from 1 species
AGUGAACGCUGGCGGUAGGCCUAACACAUGCAAGUCGAACGGCAGCACAGGAGAGCUUGCUCUCUGGGUGGCGAGUGGCGGACGUGUGAGGAAUACAUCGGAAUCUACCUUUUCGUGGGGGAUAACGUAGGGAAACUUACGCUAAUACCGCAUACGACCUACGGGUGAAAGUGGGGGACCGCAAGGCCUCACGCGAUUAGAUGAGCCGAUGUCCGAUUAGCUAGUUGGCGGGGUAAUGGCCCACCAAGGCGACGAUCGGUAGCUGGUCUGAGAGGAUGAUCAGCCACACUGGAACUGAGACACGGUCCAGACUCCUACGGGAGGCAGCAGUGGGGAAUAUUGGACAAUGGGCGCAAGCCUGAUCCAGCCAUACCGCGUGGGUGAAGAAGGCCUUCGGGUUGUAAAGCCCUUUUGUUGGGAAAGAAAUCCUGUCGAUUAAUACUCGGUGGGGAUGACGGUACCCAAAGAAUAAGCACCGGCUAACUUCGUG